CUGACCGAGGAGCGCUGCAACGGGUGAACAUCCGCCAGGCUCGGAAGGGAGGCUUGAUGCAAUCAACCGCGCUCACUCACG
rnacentral:ncRNA from 2 species